rfam:Gossypium hirsutum cultivar TM-1 chromosome 20, whole genome shotgun sequence
UAUUAAAAAUUUCAUCCAUUUGUAUUAUUAAAAACUAGUGUGACGGACAGAAUAAUUAGACGAUGACACGUAGUGUACAAUAUGUAUCUCAUGCUAACAUAUAAAGAUCAGUUUUUAAUGGUGGAAAUGAAAGAAAUUUUUACCA